AAUGCCUACGGGACGCAGCAGUGAGGAAUAUUGGUCAAUGGGCGGGAGCCUGAACCAGCCAAGUCGCGUGAGGGAAGACGGUCCUAUGGAUUGUAAACCUCUUUAGGCGGGGAGCAAUGCCGGGCACGCGUGCCCGGAGGGAGAGUACCCGCAGAAUAAGCAUCGGCUAACUCCGUGCCAGCAGCCGCAGUAAUACGGAGGAUGCGAGCGUUAUCCGGAUGUAUUGGGUUUAAAGGGGGCGUAGGCGGAUUUUUAAGUCAGCGGUAAAAUGACCGGGCGCAACCCGGGCCUGCCGUUGAAACUGG
rnacentral:rRNA from 1 species